GGUCCUCUGGCGCAAUGGUAGCGCAUUCGACUCCAGUUUCAUCUUGGACUGGCAAUCGAAAGGUUAUCCGUUCAAAUCGGGUGGGGAUCA